AAAUUAAUUGUUGUAAACUUACAGGGACUGGUUUCACUUUCAUUGACUUCAUACAUUUUCUUAGUCAAGUCAUACCAUUGGGAAGUAUGACGCUUGACGUGUAAGUUUGAACAAAUACUACCCUAGCAUAGGUACCCCAUGGCUUCCCAAGAAUUGCACUCUUCACUCCGGUGAUCUUGCAUCCCACAAAGGUGAAGCCCGUGUUUUCCCGAGCUACCAAUGAAGUGAUUGAAUACCUGAGAAGUGAAACUAACAUACUACGUGAACAAGUAGAUGAGUUGAGGAGUGAAAUGGCAUCAAUGAGGGAAUGUGACGGCUGAAAACCGCAUAGACAAUAAAAAAUUGAAAGAUAAGCGUAAAUCCACCGGUGGUAAAAAGCCUCCCAGACCUCCAAGAGGAUUAUCCUUGGAUGCUGCUGACCAAAAGCUUAUCAAAGAGAUCAUCGAACUCGCAAUGAUCAAACGUGCGUGAAUUGAGCGAAUCAAGGCGUUAAAGAAAA